rnacentral:rRNA from 1 species
UACGUAGGGUGCGAGCGUUAAUCGGAAUUACUGGGCGUAAAGCGUGCGCAGGCGGUUUUGUAAGUCAGAUGUGAAAUCCCCGGGCUUAACCUGGGAACUGCGUUUGAAACUACAAGGCUAGAGUGUGGCAGAGGGGGGUGGAAUUCCACGUGUAGCAGUGAAAUGCGUAGAGAUGUGGAGGAACACCGAUGGCGAAGGCAGCCGCCUGGGUUAACACUGACGCUCAGGCACGAAAGCGUGGGGAGCAAACAGG